GUGGGGAAUAUUGGACAAUGGGCGCAAGCCUGAUCCAGCCAUUCCGCGUGCAGGAUGAAGGCCUUCGGGUUGUAAACUGCUUUUGUACGGAACGAAAAGCCUCUGGUUAAUACCCGGGGGUCAUGACGGUACCGUAAGAAUAAGCACCGGCUAACUACGUGCCAGCAGCCGCGGUAAUACGUAGGGUGCGAGCGUUAAUCGGAAUUACUGGGCGUAAAGCGUGCGCAGGCGGUGAUGUAAGACAGUUGUGAAAUCCCCGGGCUCAACCUGGGAACUGCAUCUGUGACUGCAUUGCUGGAGUGCGGCAGAGGGGGAUGGAAUUCCGCGUGUAGCAGUGAAAUGCGUAGAUAUGCGGAGGAACACCGAUGGCGAAGGCAAUCCCCUGGGCCUGCACUGACGCUCAUGCACGAAAGCGUGGGGAGCAAACAGGAUUAGAUACCCGUGUAGUCC
rnacentral:rRNA from 1 species